rnacentral:rRNA from 1 species
UUAGUGGCGAACGGGUGAGUAACACGUGGGCAAUCUGCCCUUCACUCUGGGACAAGCCCUGGAAACGGGGUCUAAUACCGGAUAACACUCUGUCCCGCAUGGGACGGGGUUAAAAGCUCCGGCGGUGAAGGAUGAGCCCGCGGCCUAUCAGCUUGUUGGUGGGGUAAUGGCCUACCAAGGCGACGACGGGUAGCCGGCCUGAGAGGGCGACCGGCCACACUGGGACUGAGACACGGCCCAGACUCCUACGGGAGGCAGCAGUGGGGAAUAUUGCACAAUGGGCGAAAGCCUGAUGCAGCGACGCCGCGUGAGGGAUGACGGCCUUCGGGUUGUAAACCUCUUUCAGCAGGGAAGAAGCGAAAGUGACGGUACCUGCAGAAGAAGCGCCGGCUAACUACGUGCCAGCAGCCGCGGUAAUACGUAGGGCGCAAGCGUUGUCCGGAAUUAUUGGGCGUAAAGAGCUCGUAGGCGGCUUGUCACGUCGGAUGUGAAAGCCCGGGGCUUAACCCCGGGUCUGCAUUCGAUACGGGCUAGCUAGAGUGUGGUAGGGGAGAUCGGAAUUCCUGGUGUAGCGGUGAAAUGCGCAGAUAUCAGGAGGAACACCGGUGGCGAAGGCGGAUCUCUGGGCCAUUACUGACGCUGAGGAGCGAAAGCGUGGGGAGCGAACAGGAUUAGAUACCCUGGUAGUCCACGCCGUAAACGUUGGGAACUAGGUGUUGGCGACAUUCCACGUCGUCGGUGCCGCAGCUAACGCAUUAAUUUCCCCGCCUGGGGGAGUACGGCCGCAAGGCUAAACUCAAAGAAAUUGACGGGGGCCGCACAGCAGCGGAGCAUGUGGCUUAAUUCGACGCAACGCGAAGAACCUUACCAAGGCUUGACAUAUACCGGAAAGCAUCAGAGAUGGUGCCCCCCUUGUGGUCGGUAUACAGGUGGUGCAUGGCUGUCGUCAGCUCGUGUCGUGAGAUGUUGGGUUAAGUCCCGCAACGAGCGCAACCCUUGUUCUGUGUUGCCAGCAUGCCCUUCGGGGUGAUGGGGACUCACAGGAGACUGCCGGGGUCAACUCGGAGGAAGGUGGGGACGACGUCAAGUCAUCAUGCCCCUUAUGUCUUGGGCUGCACACGUGCUACAAUGGCCGGUACAAUGAGCUGCGAUGCCGCGAGGCGGAGCGAAUCUCAAAAAGCCGGUCUCAGUUCGGAUUGGGGUCUGCAACUCGACCCCAUGAAGUCGGAGUUGCUAGUAAUCGCAGAUCAGCAUUGCUGCGGUGAAUACGUUCCCGGGCCUUGUACACACCGCCCGUCACGUCACGAAAGUCGGUA